rnacentral:lncRNA from 1 species
GCAUCAUUUAGCAUCUUUCAGUAUCAUUCAACAUCAUUCAGUAUCAUUCAGUAACAUUCAGCAUCAUUCAGUAUCAUUCAACAUCAUUCAACAUCAUUCACUAUCAUUCAACAUCAUUCAACAUCAUUCAGCAUCAUUUAGCAUCAUUCAGCAUCAUUUAGCAUCAUUCAGCAUCAUUUAGCAUCAUUCAACAUCAUUCAGCAUCAUUCAACAUCAUUCACCAUCAUUUAGCAUCAUUCAGCAGCAUUUAGCAUCAUUUAGCAUCAUUCAGCAUCAUUUAGCAUCAUUCAGUAUCAUUCAACACCAUUCAGCAUCAUUCAGCAUCAUUCAGCAUCAUUCAGCAUCAUUUAGCAUCAUUCAACAUCAUUCAGCAUCAUUCAGUAUCAUUCAGCAUCAUUUAGCAUCAUUCAGCAUCACUUAGCAUCAUUCAGCAUCAUUUAGCAUCAUUCAACAUCAUUCAGCAUCAUUCAGUAUCAUCCAGCAUCAUUCAGCAUCAUUCAACAUCAUUCAGCAUCAUUCAGUAUCAUUCAGCAUCAUUUAGCAUCAUUCAGCAUCAUUUAGCAUCAUUCAGCAUCAUUUAGCAUCAUUCAGUAUCAUUCAACAUCAUUCAGCAUCAUUUAGCAACAUUCAGUAUCAUUCAGCAUCAUUCCGUAUCAUUCAACAUCAUUCAACAUCAUUCAAUAUCAUUCAACAUCAUUCAACAUCAUUCAACAUCAUUUAGCAUCAUUCAGCAUCAUUCAGUAUCAUUCAGCAUCAUUUAGCAUCAUUCAGCAUCAUUUAGCAUCAUUCAGCAUCAUUUAGCAUCAUUCAGUAUCAUUCAACAUCAUUCAACAUCAUUCAGCACCAUUUAGCAUCAUUCAGUAUCAUUUAGCAUCAUUUAGCAUCAUUCAGCAUCAUUUAGCAUCAUUCAGUAUCAUUUAGCAUCAUUCAGUAUCAUUCAACAUCAUUCAACAUCAUUCAAUAUCAUUCAACAUCAUUCAACAUCAUUCAACAUCAUUUAGCAUCAUUCAGCAUCAUUCAGUAUCAUUCAGCAUCAUUUACCAUCAUUCAGUAUCAUUCAACAUCAUUCAACAUCAUUCAGCAUCAUUUAGCAUCAUUCAGCAUCAUUUAGCAUCAUUCAGUAUCAUUCAACAUCAUUCAGUAUCAUUCAGUAUCAUUCAGCAUCAUUCAGUAUCAUUCAACAUCAUUCAACAUCAUUCACUAUCAUUCAACAUCAUUCAACAUCAUUCAGCAUCAUUUAGCAUCAUUCAGCAUCAUUUAGCAUCAUUCAGCAUCAUUUAGCAUCAUUCAACAUCAUUCAGCAUCAUUCAACAUCAUUCACCAUCAUUUAGCAUCAUUCAGCAGCAUUUAGCAUCAUUUAGCAUCAUUGAGCAUCAUUUAGCAUCAUUCAGUAUCAUUCAACAUCAUUCAGCAUCAUUCAGCAUCAUUCAGCAUCAUUCAGCAUCAUUCAGCAUCAUUUAGCAUCAUUCAACAUCAUUCAGCAUCAUUCAGUAUCAUUCAGCAUCAUUUAGCAUCAUUGAGCAUCAUUUAGCAUCAUUCAGCAUCAUUUAGCAUCAUUCAGCAUCAUUUAGCAUCAUUCAGUAUCAUUCAGCAUCAUUUAGCAUCAUUCAGCAUCAUUCAACAUCAUUCAGCAUCAUUUACCAUCAUUCAGUAUCAUUCAGCAUCAUUUAGCAUCAUUUAGCAUCAUUCAACAUCAUUCAGCAUCAUUCAGUAUCAUUCAGCAUCAUUUAGCAUCAUUCAGCAUCAUUCAACAUCAUUCAGCAUCAUUUAGCAUCAUUCAGCAUCAUUUAGCAUCAUUCAGCAUCAGUUAGCAUCAUUUAGCAUAUUCAGCAUCAGUUAGCAUCAUUUAGCAUCAUUCAGCAUCAUUUAGCAUCAUUCAGCAUCAUUAUCCAUCAUUCAGUAUCAUUCAACAUCAUUCAACAUCAUUCAGCAUCAUUUAGCAUCAUUCAGCAUCAUUUAGCAUCAUUCAGUAUCAUUUAGCAUCAUUUAGCAUCAUUCAGCAUCAUUUAGCAUCAUUCAACAUCAUUCAACAUCAUUCACCAUCAUUUAGCAUCAUUCAGCAGCAUUUAGCAUCAUUUAGCAUCAUUCAGCAUCAUUUAGCAUCAUUCAGUAUUAUUCAACAUCAUUCAGUAUCAUUCAGUAUUAUUCAGCAUCAUUCAGUAUCAUUCAACAUCAUUCAACAUCAUUCGCUAUCAUUCAACAUCAUUCAACAUCAUUCAGCUUCAUUCAGCAUCAUUUAGCAUCAUUUAGCAUCAUUUAGCAUCAUUCAGUAUCAUUCAACAUCAUUCAGCAUCAUUUAGCAAGAUUCAGUAUCAUUCAGCAUCAUUCCGUAUCAUUCAACAUCAUUCAACAUCAUUCAAUAUCAUUCAACAUCAUUCAACAUCAUUCAACAUCAUUUAGCAUCAUUCAGCAUCAUUCAGCAUCAUUUAGCAUCAUUUAGCAUCAUUCAGCAUCAUUUAGCAUCAUUCAGUGUCAUUCAACAUCAUUCAGUAUCAUUCAGUAUCAUUCAGCAUCAUUCAGAAUCAUUCAACAUCAU